rnacentral:rRNA from 1 species
GAGGAGCCUGCGUCCCAUCAGCUAGUUGGUAGGGUAAUAGCCUACCAAGGCAAUGACGGGUAGGGGACCUGAGAGGGUGGCCCCCCACAAUGGGACUGAAACACGGUCCAUACACCUACGGGGGGCAGCAGUAGGGAAUAUUAGAAAUGGGCGAAAGCCUGAUCUAGCAACACCGCGUGUGCGAUGAAGGCCUUCGGGUUGUAAAGCACUUUUUGGAGGGAAUAGGAAGGAAGGUACCUCCAGAAUAAGUCUCGGCUAACUACGUGCCAGCAGCCGCGGUAACACGUAGGAGGCAAACGUUAUCCGGAUUCACUGGGCGUAAAGCGCGUGUAGGUGGUCCUGUAAGUAGGGCGUGAAAGCUCCCGGCUCAACUGGGAGAGGCCGUACUAAACUGCAGAGCUAGAGGAUGGUAGAGGGAGGUGGAAUUCCAGGUGUAGUGGUGAAAUGCGCAGAUAUCUGGAGGAACACCAGUGGCGAAGGCGGCCUCCUGGACCAUUCCUGACACUCAGACGCGAAAGCUAGGGUAGCAAACGGAAGGAGAGACUCCGGUAGUCCUAGCCCUAAACGAUGCAGACUAGGCGUCGGCGGUUUAAUCACCGUCGGUGUCCAAGCUAACGCGAUAAGUCUGCCGCCUGAGGACUACGGCCGCAAGGCUAAAACUCAAAGGAAUUGACGGGUCCCCGCACAAGCAGCGGAGCGUGUGGUUUAAUUCGAUGCUCCGCGAAGAACCUUACCUGGGUUUGACAUAACAGUGGUAGAGAAGUGAAAACGGAUCGACCCUUCGGGGAGCUGUUACAGGUGUUGCAUGCCUGUCGUCAGCUCGUGUCGUGAGAUGUUCGGUUAAGUCCGCUAACGAGCGCAACCCGCGCUGUGUGUUACAAGUGUCACACAGUACCGCCGGUAUUAAGUCGGAGGAAGGUGCGGAUGACGUCAAGUCAGCAUGACCUUUAUAUCCAGGGCUACACACACGCUACAAUGGUCAGAACAAUAGGUUGCCAAGCCGCAAGGCGGAGCCAAUCCUCCAAAUCUGGCCUCAGUUCAGAUUGCAGGCUGCAACUCGCCUGCAUGAAGUCGGAGUUGCUAGUAACCGCAGGUCAGCAUACUGCGGUGAAUACGUUCCCGGGGAUUGCACUAAGCGCCCGUCAAG